UGGGGAAUUUUGGACAAUGGACGCAAGUCUGAUCCAGCCAUGCCGCGUGCGGGAAGAAGGCCUUCGGGUUGUAAACCGCUUUUGUCAGGGAAGAAACGAGUUUCUCUAAUACAGAGACUUAAUGACGGUACCUGAAGAAUAAGCACCGGCUAACUACGUGCCAGCAGCCGCGGUAAUACGUAGGGUGCGAGCGUUAAUCGGAAUUACUGGGCGUAAAGCGUGCGCAGGCGGUUAUAUAAGACAGAUGUGAAAUCCCCGGGCUCAACCUGGGAACUGCCUUUGUGACUGCAUAGCUAGAGUACGGUAGAGGGGGAUGGAAUUCCGCGUGUAGCAGUGAAAUGCGUAGAUAUGCGGAGGAACACCGAUGGCGAAGGCAAUCCCCUGGACCUGUACUGACGCUCAUGCACGAAAGCGAGGGGAGCAAACA
rnacentral:rRNA from 1 species